UACGUAGGGUGCGAGCGUUAAUCGGAAUUACUGGGCGUAAAGCGUGCGCAGGCGGCGCCGCAAGUCAGGCGUGAAAUCCCCGAGCUUAACUUGGGAAUGGCGCUUGAAACUACGGUGCUGGAGUGUGGCAGAGGGAGGUGGAAUUCCACGUGUAGCGGUGAAAUGCGCAGAUAUCAGGAGGAACACCGGUGGCGAAGGCGGAUCUCUGGGCCAGUAUUGACGCUGAGGAGCGAAAGCGUGGGUAGCAAACAGG
rnacentral:rRNA from 1 species